GGUAGAGGUGAGACACCCUUACUGGAAGAUGUACCAAUAGGAGCAUGUUGCAUCUGGAGUCCCACAACAGGUCUGUCAAUGUGAUGUGAAUUUCAAUCAGUUGGAAUAGUUCUUCUUCAUAAUCCACAUCGGGGCCCGGAUUGUCUUUAAACCACAAGGUGCAAUGUAACAUAUUUUCUGAUUGUUGAUCAUGAGGAAUUGUAAAAGUGGGUAGCUGGAACUCCAUUCGGGCAUCUGGGUUGAUGUCCAGGCUGUACCAGUGUUGUGCCACUCCCCCCUUGGGAAGUGGCAGAAGAGUGGCAGGGUUUAGCGAAUAGCAACGUUGAAGAGUAACAUUGUCUGGUAGCAACAACGAGG